rnacentral:rRNA from 1 species
AUUGAACGCUGGCGGCAUGCUUUACACAUGCAAGUCGAACGGCAGCGCGGGCUUCGGCCUGGCGGCGAGUGGCGAACGGGUGAGUAAUGCAUCGGAACGUGCCCAGUAUUUGGGGAUAGCCCGGCGAAAGCCGGAUUAAUACCGCAUACGACCUGAGGGUGAAAGCGGGGGACCGAAAGGCCUCGCGCUAUUGGAGCGGCCGAUGUCGGAUUAGCUAGUUGGUGGGGUAAAGGCUUACCAAGGCGACGAUCCGUAGCUGGUCUGAGAGGACGAUCAGCCACACUGGGACUGAGACACGGCCCAGACUCCUACGGGAGGCAGCAGUGGGGAAUUUUGGACAAUGGGGGCAACCCUGAUCCAGCCAUGCCGCGUGCGGGAAGAAGGCCUUCGGGUUGUAAACCGCUUUUGUUCGGGAAGAAAACCUCUGGGCUAAUACCCCGGGGGGAUGACGGUACCGGAAGAAUAAGCACCGGCUAACUACGUG